GGAUAUGUACAUAAGGUUUUGGUUACCUGGUGGAGAUAUGAAGCACAGCCUCAGAAGUUCAUCAGCAAUGCAUGAUAUUUGAGCGAGAUGCCAUACAGGACAGAUUCAGAAUCUCAGGCAAGUCUGAAACUACAGAAACGGAACAGAGAACAAGCUGAAAGAAACAAAAACUCCACACAAGGGAAAAACAAAGCAAGGAAAUCUGAAGUUCCAUCUUUGCUACAGGUUGUUAUGACACACUGUGGCCAUCAAGCAUACCAGUCAUCACACAGCACAGUAAAUUGCAGUGUUCAAACAUACAGCUACACUGUCCUGAGCUUUGAAACAGCAUCCAACACUCUGAAGGAGACCUCCAGUCCCACAGUAGAAUAGCAAGCACCUGUGUAAGUCUAGACUUUCCUAGGGUGUUUAAAAAGUAAAGUGAAGCUAUGGUAGGAUGUACUGAAGGCUUGCUCUGGUCCU
rnacentral:lncRNA from 1 species